UACGUAGGGUGCAAGCGUUGUCCGGAAUUAUUGGGCGUAAAGAGCUCGUAGGCGGUUUGUCGCGUCUGCUGUGAAAACGCGAGGCUCAACCUCGCGCCUGCAGUGGGUACGGGCAGACUAGAGUUCGGCAGGGGAGACUGGAAUUCCUGGUGUAGCGGUGAAAUGCGCAGAUAUCAGGAGGAACACCGGUGGCGAAGGCGGGUCUCUGGGCCGAUACUGACGCUGAGGAGCGAAAGCGUGGGGAGCAAACAGG
rnacentral:rRNA from 1 species